GGACAACACAGUGCAACAUGGACUUAUGUCUGGGCUCCUGCUGAACAUAUGUCCAAGACCUGGAACAGUGAAUGAGGCCUCGGUUAACUGUCAGAAUAAUGUCUGUGAAGGAAAAGUUUCUCAUGUUUCCCUCAUUUCAGAUGAAAAUGACUUCUAGAACUGCAGAAGGGUGAAGUGAACCUUGUGUCAUACUGAAAUAUUUUGAGGAAAAGAGAAUAAUUAAGUGAUACACUCCAUAAAUUGAAGAAUUCAAAUAUGUAUUUCACUUUAUGAAGUCUUGCAACUUUUAAGAAAAUCACAAAUGAGACUGCAGCCUGAGACUAACAGGGCAGCAAGAGGUGGUAGAAAAGAAAAACAUUAUAUUCUGCUACCAGAAACAACAAAACUGGCCUUUAAAUUUGACUAUUCCCACCCACACAUUUUGGAUUUCCUUUCCUUUGCUGCUUUACUAAGUCUUUUAAAUUUCUCCUGUUACCAUUUGGGAAAGUAAUAAAACAUUCUGUCAUGA